rnacentral:other from 1 species
CACUCCCUGGGACGUUCGCCAGCAGGACUAAGUCUCUUGAGCCGAUAAGUAACGCCUUGGGGGCCACCUUGCAGUGUUGUUGUGCACACCCGCUGCGCGCGGGCAGCCUGAUACACGGCUACGGCCCCCACCUGAACCUCUGGGUUCAAGGCCGAUACCUGCAGCGGCGCCUCCGGGGAGUGU